AUCAUUAAUUAUGUUAAAGCGCCUUACCUUAGGGUUUCCUCUGGGGUAAGUGAUUGCUUCUACACUGUGAAAAUUUGGCUGAGAGACUCAGACUGGUCAUGGGUAGACCUAUCUGGGGUUUGAUCGAUGCCACUCCUGGUUUCAGGAGUACCCUUCAUAAUAAACCUAGAAAUUCAGUAUUAUAAAGUUUAAUAAAAAACAACUUUUAACAAUGGAUCUCUUGGUUCUCGCAUCGAUGAAGAACGUAGCAAAGUGCGAUAACUAGUGUGAAUUGCAUAUUCAGUGAAUCAUCGAGUCUUUGAACGCAGCUUNGCACUCUAUGGUUUUUCUAUAGAGUACGCCUGCUUCAGUAUCAUCACAAACCCACACAUAACAUUUGUUUAUGUGGUGAUGGGUCGCAUCGCUGUUUUAUUACAGUGAGCACCUAAAAUGUGUGUGAUUUUCUGUCUGGCUUGCUAGGCAGGAAUAUUACGCUGGUCUCAGGAUCUUUUUUUUUGGUUCGCCCAGGAAGUAAAGUACAAGAGUAUAAUCCAGUAACUUUCAAACUAUGAUCUGAAGUCAGGUGGGAUUACCCGCUGAACUUAAGCAUAUCAAUAAGCGGAGGAAAAGAAAAUAACAAUGAUUUCCCUAGUAACGGCGAGUGAAGAGGAAAGAGCUCAAAGUUGGAACCUGUUUGGCCUAGCUAAACCGGAUUGUAGACUGUAGAAGUGUUUUCCAGGCAAGCCGAGUAAAUAAGUCCUYUGGAACAGG
rnacentral:rRNA from 1 species